rnacentral:misc_RNA from 1 species
UACGGAGGGUGCGAGCGUUGUUCGGAAUUAUUGGGCGUAAAGCGCACGUAGGCGGCCCGUUAAGUCUCUUGGUGAAAGGCCGGGGCUCACCCCCGAGCAUGCCGGGGAUACGGGGGGGCUGGAGACAGGCAGAGGCCAGCGGAAUUCCGGGUGUAGCGGUGGAAUGCGUAGAGAUCCGGAAGAACACCGGAGGCGAAGGCGGCUGGCUGGGCCUGAUCUGACGCUGAGGUGCGAAAGCGUGGGGAGCGAACAGG